AUUUCUUUUUUUUUUUGGGUUAUAGGGAAGUGAAGAAAUAUAUUAUCAUUAUUAUCAGGAGUAGAGUUAUUAUGCUAUCGGAAGUAUAAAAGAUUUAGUAUUUCCAAUUUUUUAGCCCUUAGAUCAAUUCCUUUGAUCAUUUCUAACUUUUGAAUUAAUACUAUUACCCUGUAGGGAUCACUCAAUCCUAGGAAUACUAGUCAAUUUUAGAAGGGACCGUAAGCAUUCCAACUGUAGAAUUUUUAAUUCAAGGGUCAAAAAAUCAAAAGUAUUAAAUUCUUUAUGCUUUUGAUAACACAGUAGCUCUACACUUAUU
rnacentral:lncRNA from 1 species